CCGAUCACUCUUAUCUCUCGCUCUCGUUCUCGCUCUGUUCCUUCUUCCUGCAAGCCCCAUCACUGCCUGUCUCUAGGGUUCAUGGAAGCCGACACCCGGAGCCACUUGUCCGCCGCUUCCAAGAGCCGCCAUCCGGCUUUGCAAUCCCGAUACGAUGCGUAUCUCGGGUUCGAGGAGUUGGAUGGAGGGGAGGACGAACCGCGACCGGAGUUCGCUUGCCCGUUCUGCUCUGAGGUCUUCGAUGUCGUGGGGCUGUGCUGCCACAUGGAUGAUGAGCAUCCGGUCGAGGCUAAGAACGGGGUGUGCCCUGUUUGUGCAGCUAGGGUUGGGAUGGACAUGGUUGGCCACAUAACUACACAACAUGCAAAUUUUUUAAAAAUACAGCGUAGGAGGAGAUACCACAAAGGAUCCUGGGGGUCCCACUCUACAAUUCUUUUGUUGAGAAAGGAUAAUACACUGGAAGGCAAUAUGCAAUCACUUGUGGGGGGUUCUUCUUUUACUCCCUCCAGUGCUGCACCUGAUCCAUUGUUGUCGUCAUUCAUUUUUAAUUUGCCAGUGAUUGAUCCAUCAGAAGAUGCCCGGCCUGAACCUUUGGAUGAACGAAGUAUGGAUGAUAAAUUUUCAGAGGAGAAAUUGGUUGAGAGUGUUGUGCCAUGUCCACUACACCAAGAUCGGGAGGAGAGUGCUCGGAGGAGCGAGUUUGCGAGCCAGAUUGUGAUCUCUACAAUAUUCAAUGAUUCAAUAUGAACUCCUCCAGCUCUCAUGGUGGCAUCAGCAGCAGCUCACGAGACAAUCUGGACAUGGUUAGAGGUUGCUGCAAUGGUGAUACCGGACCUGAACCAGAGAGCAUCGUGAACUCGAAAGACAGUUCACUUCCCUGAGCCUCUAAGAACGAUGAGGUGCCUGCCCUUCGAACGACCGCGCCGCUUGCGAAGAGCAAUCUCGAACUUCCCCUUCGUUGUUGCAGCGGAUGGCGAGCCUUACGGAGUGCAGACGAAGUUCCUGGAGUCGUAAGGACGCAGAAAAUGCACCGAUCUUUAUACCUCGGAGAUAGGGAGGCAGCGAGGAGUUGUCACAUGGAACGCAGUUCCAUGAGCUCGCUGAACUGUGCGAAGUCCACCCAUUCUUCCUCCUGUAUUCCCAAAUAUAACCCCCCGCUCCCCUCUCAGCCACGUUGUUGAUUCCGUUGCGAGUCUCUCUCGGCGACCGCUUCAACCGCAGCAUUUACCGGUCGAAGCCUUUCCUCCAAAGCCAAAGGGCUAGGGCUUUUUUCCUUCGUUCCCCUUCAUCCUCGAUGGGUGUCUUUCAACCCUGGGGCUUCCGCUUGGAGCUUUCGGAUGAGUACUAGUUGAAACGCGCGUGGAGUCCGGCUAGCGCUCAUCGAGGGAGUGG